rnacentral:rRNA from 11 species
AAUUAAGGGCAUUUGGUGGAUGCCUUGGCAUGCACAGGCGAAGAAGGACGUGAUACGCUGCGAAAAGCCGUGGGGAGCUGCGAAUAAGCUUUGAUCCAUGGAUCUCCGAAUGGGGCAACCCACCUUAAAUGCUUGGAAAAUCCAGUCUGUUUUAACGAACGGCCUGGGUUUCCAAGCAUUGUUAUAAGGUAUCUUACUUUCGAAUACAUAGGGGUAAGAAGCGAACGCAGGGAACUGAAACAUCUAAGUACCUGCAGGAAAGGACAUCAACCGAGACUCCGCAAGUAGUGGCGAGCGAACGCGGACCAGGCCAGUGGCAAUGAUGAAUAAAGCGGAACGAUCUGGAAAGGUCGGCCAUAGAGGGUGAUAGCCCCUUACGCGUAGAACAGUCAUUGUCCUUGAGUAGGGCGGGACACGUGAAAUCCUGUCUGAACAUGGGGAGACCACUCUCCAAGCCUAAGUACUCGUGCAUGACCGAUAGCGAACAAGUACCGUGAGGGAAAGGUGAAAAGCACCCCGACGAGGGGAGUGAAAUAGAACCUGAAACCGGAUGCCUACAAACAGUCGGAGCCCGCAAGGGUGACGGCGUACCUUUUGUAUAAUGGGUCAACGACUUAGUGUAACUAGCAAGCUUAAGCCGGUAGGUGUAGGCGCAGCGAAAGCGAGUCUGAAUAGGGCGAUUGAGUUAGUUGCAUUAGACCCGAAACCGAGUGAUCUAGCCAUGAGCAGGCUGAAGGUUGGGUAACACCAACUGGAGGGCCGAACCCGUAUCUGUUGCAAUAGAUUGGGAUGACUUGUGGCUAGGGGUGAAAGGCCAAUCAAACUCGGAAAUAGCUGGUUCUCCGCGAAAUCUAUUUAGGUAGAGCGUCGACCGAAUACCCUCGGGGGUAGAGCACUGGAUGGGCUAUGGGGACUCACCGUCUUACUGAUCCUAACCAAACUCCGAAUACCGAGGAGUACUAGUCGGCAGACACACGGCGGGUGCUAACGUCCGUCGUGAAAAGGGCAACAACCCUGACCUCCAGCUAAGGUCCCCAAGUCAUGGCUAAGUGGGAAAGGAUGUGAGGAUCCCAAAACAACCAGGAUGUUGGCUUAGAAGCAGCCAUCAUUUAAAGAAAGCGUAACAGCUCACUGGUCUAAAUAAGGGUCUUUGCGCCGAAAAUGUAACGGGGCUAAAGCCAUGCACCGAAGCUGAGGAUAUGCCGUAAGGCAUGUGGUAGCGGAGCGUUCCGUAAGUCUGUGAAGGCGGACCCGUGAGGGCUGCUGGAGAUAUCGGAAGUGCGAAUGUUGACAUGAGUAACGAUAAAGGGAGUGAGAGACUCCCUCGCCGAAAGACCAAGGGUUCCUGCUUAAAGUUAAUCUGAGCAGGGUUAGCCGGCCCCUAAGACGAGGCGGACACGCGUAGUCGAUGGGAACCACGUUAAUAUUCGUGGGCCUGGUGGUAGUGACGGAUCUCGUGUGUUGUACAUUCUUAUUGGAUUGAAUGUGCGGCGAAGAGGUUCCAGGAAAUAGCUCCACCGUAUAGACCGUACCCGAAACCGACACAGGUGGUCAGGUAGAGUAUACCAAGGCGCUUGAGAGAACUAUGUUGAAGGAACUCGGCAAAUUGCACGCGUAACUUCGGAAGAAGCGUGACCCCAUUUUAGGCAACUAUGAUGGGGUGGCACAGACCAGGGGGUAGCGACUGUUUAUCAAAAACACAGGGCUCUGCGAAGUAGCAAUACGACGUAUAGGGUCUGACGCCUGCCCGGUGCUGGAAGGUUAAAGGGAGGGGUGCAAGCUCUGAACUGAAGCCCCAGUAAACGGCGGCCGUAACUAUAACGGUCCUAAGGUAGCGAAAUUCCUUGUCGGGUAAGUUCCGACCUGCAUGAAUGGUGUCACGACUUCCCUACUGUCUCCAACAAUAACUUAUUGAAUUUAAAUUCUCUGUGCAGAUGCGGAGUAUGUGCGGCUAGACGGAAAGACCCUGUGCACCUUAACUUCACUUAUGUAUUUUAAAAUUGGAAGAUAAAAUGUAGAAUAAAAAGAGAGCUUAUGAUGCC